ACUCCUACGGGAGGCAGCAGUAGGGAAUCUUCCACAAUGGGCGCAAGCCUGAUGGAGCAACACCGCGUGAGUGAAGAAGGGUUUCGGCUCGUAAAGCUCUGUUGUUAAAGAAGAACACGUAUGAGAGUAACUGUUCAUACGUUGACGGUAUUUAACCAGAAAGUCACGGCUAACUACGUGCCAGCAGCCGCGGUAAUACGUAGGUGGCAAGCGUUAUCCGGAUUUAUUGGGCGUAAAGAGAGUGCAGGCGGUUUUCUAAGUCUGAUGUGAAAGCCUUCGGCUUAACCGGAGAAGUGCAUCGGAAACUGGAUAACUUGAGUGCAGAAGAGGGUAGUGGAACUCCAUGUGUAGCGGUGGAAUGCGUAGGUAUAUGGAAGAACACCAGUGGCGAAGGCGGCUACCUGGUCUGCAACUGACGCUGAGACUCGAAGGCAUGGGUAGCGAACAGGAUUAGAUA
rnacentral:rRNA from 1 species